GUGCUUUAACAUUUGGCAUCCAUCGUCUCAGCUGUUCAGAAUUACUCAGGUUACUUUUUGGUCCCGCGAGCAGGGUGUUGAAUUUUUUUUUUCUGUUUUUAACUGAAAUACAUUAUUUUGGGAAAACUAAUCAGGAAUGAAGUCGACUAAAGAUACGACUGUCGUUAGGAGACAAUUUUGAAAACUUAGGUGUAUAAUUGUUCAUGUUGUCUUUUGUUUUUAUAUUAUGGUUUAUUUGGUAAAUGUAUAGUAAAAUAGGUUUGAUGUUGUCAAGACUGAUA
rnacentral:lncRNA from 1 species